rnacentral:rRNA from 2 species
UCAAAACGACUCUCGGCAACGGAUAUCUCGGCUCUCGCAUCGAUGAAGAACGUAGCGAAAUGCGAUACUUGGUGUGAAUUGCAGAAUCCCGUGAAUCAUCGAGUCUUUGAACGCAAGUUGCGCCCGAAGCCGUCAGGCCGAGGGCACGCCUGCCUGGGCGUCACA